rnacentral:rRNA from 1 species
GCCGAACCGUGCGAACGUUAUUCGGAAUCAUUGGGCUUAAAGGGCGCGUAGGCGGCGGCGUAAGUUGGAAGUGAAAUCCCAUCGGCUCAACCGUGGAAUUGCUCCCAGUACUGCGUCGCUCGAGGGGGAUAGGGGUCUGCGGAACUACCGGUGGAGCGGUGAAAUGUGUUGAUAUCGGUGGGAACGCCAGUGGCGAAAGCGGCAGACUUGACCCUUCCUGACGCUGAGGCGCGAAAGCUAGGGGAGCAAACGGG